rnacentral:lncRNA from 1 species
GCAGAUUAUCUUUCACAUUGCCUACAUGGAACACCUUUGUACUUACUUGGUAGAGUCUUUUUCCAAUUAAUGUCUUUCAAAUAAAGUCUUAUAGCAUCCGUUACAGUGAUGCAUAUAAUUAUAGUUUUUGAAAGUUUCUCUUUUUUGUGGUGUGAUGUUUUAAUUAUUUUUUUACUUACUUGUUGGUUGAUUUUCUCUAAACCAUUUUUAAUAUCUAAUCAAAGAAAAAGCAAUGGAUAAUCCAAAUCAAAUUUUUGGGUAUCAAUAUAAACACAAAAUCUCAUUAAU